UUGACCUCGGAUCAGGUAGGGAUACCCGCUGAACUUAAGCAUAUCAAAAGCGCGGAGGAAG
rnacentral:rRNA from 1 species